UACGGGGGGAGCAAGCGUUGUUCGGAUUUACUGGGCGUAAAGGGCGCGUAGGCGGCCACCGCAAGUCACUUGUGAAAUCUCCGGGCUUAACCCGGAAAGGUCAACUGAUACUGCGGGGCUAGAGUGCAGAAGGGGCAACUGGAAUUCUCGGUGUAGCGGUGAAAUGCGUAGAUAUCGAGAGGAACACCUGCGGCGAAGGCGGGUUGCUGGGCUGACACUGACGCUGAUGUGCGAAAGCUAGGGGAGCGAACGGG
rnacentral:rRNA from 1 species